UGCGUCCGGACGUGCCUGGGAUACUAAACCAGCCCAUCUGGGGAGCCCCUCGCGGGGAGCCCAGCUCAGGAUCUCUGCAUUUAGCCUGGGAUUUCUCCCACUCCUCUGGCCUUCACCCCGCUGCAAAGGAAAUGGACAACUGCCUCUCUGCAUAAGGAAAGCAAGAUUCAACCCAAGGACAUUUCCUAUGCUGAUUAAACUAAAGGAAGAAUAUCACACAGCACCAACAAAUAGAGAGAAAGAGUAAAGACUUUCCUCGCUCCCCAAAGCACAAAGUAAAUACAAAUAGUUUUAUCCCAGUUUUACUAAUGAAGAAACCAAGACUCAGAGAAGUUAAAGUAUUUGUCCAGGAUCACACAAUGUGUCAGAGAUAAAUUUUGAAACCAGGUCAGCUGAUCUCCUCCUAUAAAAUGUUGAUUUAUGGGUCAUUAUACUAGGAUCUGAUAGAAUAUCAACAUUAAAAUGAAUACUUAUAGAAGAUCUAAAAAUGUAUUAUUAUCACCUUCUGCUCUCUUUUUGUCCACUCUGCCACUGCAGAAAAGCAGAAGAGCUACCAGGUUCUAGCUACCCUAGAACUGAGGGCUAUUUUUCUUUUUCUUUUUCUUUUUUUUGAGGGUUACCAAGGAGGAAGAAUUUGUCACCAAGUGGUGAGUCUACUGUCAAUGAUUCUCUCCAGAAUCAGCGCUGGAGAACCUGCAAGAGAUCACUGUUUGCUGGGAUAGCUUUUGUGAAUCCAGGAUAACUUCCCACAUCACAAUUAGGCACCAGAGUAGGGCUUUAUUCACACACCUUCACACCUCUAAAAUGUCUACCUGUUGCCACACAAUCCCACAAGAAUACUUUUUAAAAAUUCUCUCUGCUGCAUAGUUAUAGAAAAAUGAAGAUCAACAAAGUUAAAGUGGAAGAAGAAAUACAAGAUGAAAGGAUGAGGUUAUAUAGAAUGAUGAAAGUACACUGGAUUUGGAAUCAGAAUAAUUUGUAUCAAAUCCUGAAUCUGCUACAUGCUGGUGUGAUCUUAGAAAGGUUCCUUCCACUCUCUGGGCUUUAGUUUCUCCAUCUUUAUGUAGUACCCCCUCUGGAUUAGGUCCCCAAUUCAUGCCCAUACUUGAGGUUAGGGAUACAGAAGAAUGACUACUACUUUCAGAGUUCUUGGGGUAACUCUGAGGGGUUAUGUUUCUAAGACUAUAGCUCACAAGCCCCCACCAGUGUGCUUCUCAUUAACAAUCAGACAGUUGACUUAAAUAACUUCUAGAUAGGGUAUUUACUAAGAAUGUAUAGUAAGAAUAGUUACUACAAAACAUUAUUUCCAAAAGCCUACAGCAAAUUCUCUCACAAAUACACAAAGUAUCUAUGAGAAAGAGUGGGAUCAAACUUAGAAUACAAUGGCAGAAUCACAUUGUAGGGAACAUAUGUGGUAAAGGGAUAACCCACAGUUCCUGUUACUGAAAACUCCUUUCUCCCUUCCUCUUAAAGACGUCAUGAAGUUCCCUUUAGGUGUAGCUCUCUGAUGUAUUGCAAGAGUCUGUGCCUUUCUAGAGUCCAUAGCCAACACUUCAUUCAGCCAUGAGGGGUCAUAAACUCUGAAGCUGUUUCUUCACCAUUCCUAUUACUGGAAAUCCUUUCUCCUUCUCUCUUUGUAGUGUCUUCAUGUACUUUCCCUUGUGUGAGUAUCUCUCCAUAUCCCUUUUUCCUUGGAAUGUCUUUCUGAUCCUAGCUAGAUACAUUGCCUAAUACUGACUCAGUCUCUCCAACGGGGAAAGAGGUGACGGAAGGAGAACAGGAGAAUGGAAAGGGAGAGAAGAACAGAGACAAAGACACUGAGAGACAGAAGCAAAGAAGGAAAUCUCUUAAGGGUUUGGCUCCAACUCUUGUAUAGAAAUCCUCAAUUCCUGUCCUUAAAUUCUCCACUACUAGACUAGAUCAUCCCUGGACUGGUGAACUUGUAAAAUUUCUCCAGAUAUUUAAAGCCUCCAGAGGUGUGAUUAGCUUAUUUGGUUAGAUCAGAGGUUCCCAAAUGUAUUCGGCUGAACACCCUUUAAAAAAAAUUACUUAGCACCCCCCUGGAA